rnacentral:lncRNA from 1 species
UUCUGUUUAGUUUUGUUGUUUCAUUUUGCUGCUAUUGUUUCUCAUCUGUCUGAAUUUGGAAAGUCCAUCUUUUGCCCUGUUCCACUGCAUCAUGUCCCUGAUAGGAAAGCUGAACACUCUUUUGCCAUUCUAUUAUUUGUCGAGCUUUGAAAAAUCAUGAGCUGGGGCGUACUUACAGAUUGUUGAAGUCUAAAAAUUUAGCAUGUGGAGAAUGAAAAUUUUGAGGUAAAUUUAGAGUGCUUAAAUGACUUUUGUAUUGAUAGCGUGCUUUCUUUUGUAAGAAAACUGAAAGAAAAGAAGAACAUUGUUCGUUGUUUCAUUUACUCGGUAUUUUUUCAAAACAGAAAACCUCGAAUGAGUGUUUUCAUUUAUGUACCUUCCAAAAGUUAUGCGUGGUUUUGUG